CCUCAAAGGAGAGUUCUAUAAUGAUAGAAGACAGUUAUAAAAAAUAGUCCUCUCUUCCGAGCACAUACCUGCAUGAUGCCAGAUUCUCAGUGUGGGCUUCUACCAAAACAACAUAUUGCAGCAGAUGGAAUGAACGCAGCAGAGGUCUGUGACACAUUGGCUCCGCAUUAAUCCUCAAUAUAAGCCACAAUAUAAAAAAAUGCAAGACAACAGAUCUCUCCAGUCUGCCCCCUGUAUUCAUUUCCUCAUUCUCACUUCAUUAAAAACUUC
rnacentral:lncRNA from 1 species